rnacentral:lncRNA from 1 species
GAUGUACAGUUCCUUUGCGAGGAGAGUUGUACACAUCUGCUAUGCUCUUCCAGGCCCUGAGGUUUCCAUGAAAAUGCCUGUUAAUUGCAGCCAAUGUAAGAUCCUGCCCCUGUUCAUCACAGCUUGCUCACCAUCGGGCCAUUGUCACCAUCCUCUCAAUGACUGUCAAAUAAGAGCAGAAAGAUAGAAUUUAGUUACAUGGUGGCAUCACCUAUUUAUUGUGUCACAAAGUUACCCAAGUGUCUAGAUAAUUUUUAAUUAUUUUCCCCCUAGUGCCUGACAAUGUUUCAAUUCCAAGACAACCAUCUCAUAAAGCAUGAUACUGUGUUAAUGUAGCAGAGGGCCAGAGGCAGGCGAGAUCCUCAUUUCUAUAUGAGUAAAUUCAAAAACCCAAUCCUAAUGUAUAUGGAUGGUUCAUCCAACUAUCCAAGGAUAUUACACUAUUUCCUAACAUCAUCAUAUCUGAUGUAGUCAUGUAGGGUUACUGGGUUAGCAAAAAAGAACUUUACAUCAAUUAACCAUCUGUCAUAUUCUUGUUCUGCCAUACUUUAGUGCGGAACAAAACAGGAUAGGUCAACUUGAAACAAAGGUUCCACUGUUACAACCUUCAGUAUGGGUUGAACUGUAGGAAAGGUCACUGUCAAAACCAACUAUUCCCUCAGUGAUAAUGACAUGCACUAUCACAGCAGAAAAAUUUAGAAAUGACAUGUGGUGGGAGAAACCGAAACCUGCCCAAAUAUAUUAUAAAGCAAUCUGAUAGACAAGGCAACUAGGCAUAUAUUUUCAUGACAAAGCACAGAUCGAUUUCAAUAGUACAGACCAACGUAUUCCUAUACCAAGAUAAUAGUAAGUUGCAGCUGUCUGUUGAUAUAAUAGGUAGCCGCAAGAGAUAGUUUUAACUAAUACCAAUAAAUCACCAUAGCAUAUAGUUGACAAAACUUGGAAGUACCAUUAAGCAUUGAAGUUCUAAUAUGACGACUUCUACACAGCCACACAAAAGAAAAAUAGAAACCAACAUUGCUGAGAUUUGCAGAGUGAACACUAGUAAUGAUACAAUCGCAUAUACUGCAAGGAAGAUAACUCGCCAGGUGCUGGAGUUGGUGAAUGGUUUGGUGCUCAGACUAAGAAAUGCAUCGAAUAAUCAUACAUUCAAAAUUUAAAUGGCUACAAAAAAUGGUAACACUAGCAUGCCACACUAUGAGUUUGUAAUGUUUUCGACAGUCAUAAUUCAUAAAAAAGGAUGACCAAAUGAUUCCAUAGGGUGAUGAUAGUGUGCUUAGCAGAAGAUACAGAUAAACUGUUUCCAUGUUAAUCAUGCAUACCUUGAAGCCAGAUUUAUUAUUAGUUGAACCAGCCAACAUCUUCCUCGCAGGCUUAAGUAUCUGGAAGGAGCACAUCAAUGUCUCAUCUACACUCAUCAUGGCACCAGCAUUAUCGAAUUCUCCACAGUAGUUAGGGGCCGAGAAUAUUGUUACAAGCUGGCGGUUAGCGAAAAACUCAUAUCCAUCUUCAACAACCUGAAUUUUGACAAGGUAAGCAUUAAUAAACAAUCAAUUUGUUUGAUACAGGAACAAGUAGGUCACAUUCUUUCAGAGUAGAGCACACCUGAUGAGCUCUGCAGAUGAGGUCCAAAUCAUGCUUCUCAAGGAAUUCAGCAACUUUAUCAGGCCCAAAUGUAUAUGAAACACCUCGAUCGUUCAUGGCCCAGCCUUGUGCUUCAUUGGAAGGAUCAGACCAAAGAAGAUCACAGAGUAAUCCAGUGUCAGGCACAUCUGUGGGGCGAUUCAGGUUGAGUAUUUGAUCCAGCUUGUUCA